GAGAGUAGGCGCAGGCGGUUGCAGGUCAGCUUGAAGAAAGCUAGCUUGAGGAAAGUCCGGGCUCCCGAAAGACCAAACUUGCUGGGUAACGCCCAGUGCGAGCGAUCGUGAGGAUAGUGCCACAGAAAGAUACCGCCAACACGAUUUUGGAUUGACGAUUUUGGAUUUUGGAUUCAAUCUAAAAUCUAAAAUCUAAAAUCUAAAAUUUUGUCGGUAAGGGUGCAAAGGUGCGGUAAGAGCGCACCAGCACGACUGAGAGGUCGUGGCUCGGUAAACCCCGGUUGGGAGCAAGGUAAAGGAACUACGGUUGGUCUUUUACCAGUUCCGUAAAAAAGAGCCGCUAGAGGCGUCUGGUAACAGGCGUCCCAGAUAGAUAACUGCCCUCAAAAUGUAAGAAUGUUUGGCAAAAUAUUUUUACAUUAGAGAACAGAACCCGGCUUAUGUCCGACUCUCUCCU
rnacentral:RNase_P_RNA from 3 species